rnacentral:ncRNA from 1 species
AAUGCGGUGCCCGGCAGAAGAUCGGGUAGCGGCAUUGCCCUGGAGAGGU